AUAUAAAUCAUCUAGGGAAUCUUAUUAAAAUGGAAGCCUGAGUCAUAAAGUCUGGGGUAGGCUCUGAGAUUUUGCUUUUGUAAUCAGCUCCCAGGUGAUACUCAU
rnacentral:pre_miRNA from 1 species